rnacentral:ncRNA from 1 species
AAGCUCAUCAUAUCUGCAAUACGUUUGAUUGUUCAUCCGCUAAUAGGAAACGUGAGCUGGGAUUAGACCGUUGUGAGACAGGUU